rnacentral:rRNA from 1 species
UUUCUUGAUUAGUGGCGCACGGGUGAGUAAUGCAUAGAUAAUGUGCCCCUUAGUUCGGGAUAGCCACUGGAAACGGUGAUUAAUACCGGAUACUCCUUCUUGUUAUAAGACAAGUCGGGAAAGUUUUUCGCUAAGGGAUCAGUCUAUGUUCCACCAGCUUGUUGGUGAGGUAAUGGCUCACCAAGGCUAUGACGGAUAUCUGGUUUGAGAGGAUGAUCAGACACACUGGAACUGAGACACGGUCCAGACUCCUACGGGAGGCAGCAGUGAGGAAUAUUGCACAAUGGAGGAAACUCUGAUGCAGCAACGCCGCGUGGAGGAUGACGCAUUUCGGUGUGUAAACUCCUUUUAUUAGGGAAGAUAAUGACGGUACCUAAUGAAUAAGCACCGGCUAACUCCGUGCCAGCAGCCGCGGUAAUACGGAGGGUGCAAGCGUUACUCGGAAUCACUGGGCGUAAAGGGUGCGUAGGCUAGCUUUUAAGUCAGAUGUGAAAUCCAAUGGCUCAACCAUCGAACUGCAUUUGAAACUGAAAGCCUAGAGUUCAGAAGGGGCAGAUGGAAUUAGUGGUGUAGGGGUAAAAUCCGUAGAUAUCACUAGGAAUAUCAAAAGCGAAGGCGAUCUGCUGGGAUGAU